CAGUUCUGGUUUCUCUUAAAUUGUGCAUAAAUCUUUCACCUUUUAGUAAAUAUUUCUGUUGAGUGGAACAUCAAUGAGUGUGAUGUAUUUUUAUGAGCUUUGCUCUGGCAAAGCU